UCCCAGGGGGUCCAGUGGCCAGGACUCUGUGCUUCUAAUGCAGGAGGCCUUGGUUCAAAUCCUACUUGGGGA
rnacentral:tRNA from 1 species